rnacentral:rRNA from 1 species
GUGGGGAAUAUUGGACAAUGGGGGGAACCCUGAUCCAGCCAUGCCGCGUGUGUGAAGAAGGCCUUUUGGUUGUAAAGCACUUUAAGCGAGGAGGAGGCUACCGAGAUUAAUACUCUUGGAUAGUGGAUGUUACUCGCAGAAUAAGCACCGGCUAACUCUGUGCCAGCAGCCGCGGUAAUACAGAGGGUGCAAGCGUUAAUCGGAUUUACUGGGCGUAAAGCGCGCGUAGGUGGCCAAUUAAGUCAAAUGUGAAAUCCCCGAGCUUAACUUGGGAAUUGCAUUCGAUACUGGUUGGCUAGAGUAUGGGAGAGGAUGGUAGAAUUCCAGGUGUAGCGGUGAAAUGCGUAGAGAUCUGGAGGAAUAACGAUGGCGAAGGCAGCCAUCUGGCCUAAUACUGACACUGAGGUGCGAAAGCAUGGGGAGCAAACAGGAUUAGAUACCCUUGUAGUCC